CAGAAGUACAUAUACUGUUGUCAGAAAUUUGUCAGAAUACAGAGAUUAGUACCAUAGUCCCUGUGCAAGGAUGACAGGGAAAUUCAUGUGAUAGUUAAAGUUUGA